AUUGAACGCUGGCGGCAUGCUUUACACAUGCAAGUCGAGCGGUAACAGGCCUUCGGGUGCUGACGAGUGGCGCACGGGUGAGUAAUGCAUCGGAACGUACCCAGAGGUGGGGGAUAACGCAGCGAAAGCUGUGCUAAUACCGCAUGUGAUCUGAGGAUGAAAGCGGGGGACCGAGCAGCAAUGUUUGGCCUCGCGCCUUUGGAGCGGCCGAUGUCGGAUUAGCUAGUUGGUGGGGUAAAGGCCUACCAAGGCGACGAUCCGUAGCUGGUCUGAGAGGACGACCAGCCACACUGGGACUGAGACACGGACCAGACUCCUACGGGAGGCAGCAGUGGGGAAUUUUGGACAAUGGGCGCAAGCCUGAUCCAGCAAUGCCGCGUGCGGGAAGAAGGCCUUCGGGUUGUAAACCGCUUUUGGCAGGAACGAAACGGUGUCCGCUAAUACCGGGCGCUAAUGACGGUACCUGCAGAAUAAGCACCGGCUAACUACGUG
rnacentral:rRNA from 1 species